CCUACGGGAGGCAGCAGUGAGGAAUAUUGGUCAAUGGGCGAGAGCCUGAACCAGCCAAGUCGCGUGAGGGAGUACUGCCCUAUGGGUUGUAAACCUCUUUUGUCGGGGAGCAAAAGCCGGACGUGUCCGGCUGUGAGAGUACCCGAAGAAAAAGCAUCGGCUAACUCCGUGCCAGCAGCCGCGGUAAUACGGAGGAUGCUAGCGUUAUCCGGAUUUAUUGGGUUUAAAGGGUGCGCAGGCGGAUUUUUAAGUCAGCGGUAAAAUCGUGGGGCUCAACCCCAUCCAGCCGUUGAAACUGGGGAUCUAGAGUGCGCGAGAGGUAGGCGGAAUGCGUGGGGUAGCGGUGAAAUGCAUAGAUAUCACGCAGAACCCCGAUUGCGAAGGCAGCAUACCGGUGCACAACUGACGCUCAGGCACGAAAGCGUGGGUAUCGAACAGGAUUAGAUACCCGAGUAGUC
rnacentral:rRNA from 1 species